AUUUACAUGACCUAAUUAUUUUACUACUAUUUUGAUUUUUUUCUGCUAACCACUCUGUCUUGUUUUUGUCUUCACUAGCUGCUUUAAUAAAGUAUUCAUUACUAUAUUGCCACUGAACUUGGUAUUCACAUAUUAAGAUCUCCCUACCAAAAGGAAAGAUAUUCUCUUCCUCUUUCACCAGUGCUGAGACCUUUUGUGGAAGCAGCAGUGACUUCUUUUUUCCAAAGAUGCAUAUACCUACAGUGGAUAUACAAGUGUGAUGUUUUGAAUAAGAUCUUCAGAUUCUCUAAUUCAUAAACACCUCCCAUGGCCUGCUCCCCAAGACAUACGUCAGAUUUUAGAAAAUGAAGAGGUUUUUGCUAUAAAGCCUGCAGAAUCAGUGGCAAUUGUUUCAUAGUCACCCAAUCAACGCCGUUUCUACAGCCACUGGAAAUGGCCAAGAUAAACAAACACCGCUCACGCUGCUUCUUCUUGUGCUCCGCUACUGCAGAGGUGAACUCUCAGCCAGGAUGUAUGCUAAGUAAGGAAAAACAUUAGCUGUUAUUUUAAGAUGGAAUGGACAACUGAUACUGACAGAACCUCUUUUGGACUUCAGGCAUGUUGCACCUAACUGAUAGCUCAUCAGUGUUCUAUAAGGGACCUAAUACUGUGUGCUCAGCAAGGCUUGGUCAAAUAUUGGUAGCCAAGAGCCAGAUUUUCACUGAGAGAACUAAUGAACAGACGUUUCACUGAAAGAAGUUGAAGCAGAAGUUAAACUGAGAAAGUGCUGCACGUCAAAUAUCAUCCUUUCUUGUA
rnacentral:lncRNA from 1 species